AUUGAACGCUGGCGGCAGGCCUAACACAUGCCAGUCGAGCGGAUGAAGGGAGCUUGCUCCUGGAUUCAGCGGCGGACGGGUGAGUAAUGCCUAGGAAUCUGCCUGGUAGUGGGGGAUAACGUCCGGAAACGGGCGCUAAUACCGCAUACGUCCUGAGGGAGAAAGUGGGGGAUCUUCGGACCUCACGCUAUCAGAUGAGCCUAGGUCGGAUUAGCUAGUUGGUGGGGUAAAGGCCUACCAAGGCGACGAUCCGUAACUGGUCUGAGAGGAUGAUCAGUCACACAGGAACUGAGACACGGUCCAGACUCCUACGGGAGGCAGCAGUGGGGAAUAUUGGACAAUGGGCGAAAGCCUGAUCCAGCCAUGCCGCGUGUGUGAAGAAGGUCUUCGGAUUGUAAAGCACUUUAAGUUGGGAGGAAGGGCAGUAAGUUAAUACCUUGCUGUUUUGACGUUACCAACAGAAUAAGCACCGGCUAACUUCGU
rnacentral:rRNA from 1 species